rnacentral:rRNA from 1 species
GCGCUUGCCAGCCCGCUCAGAACUUAAAGGAUUGACGGGGCCCGCACAAGCGGAGGAGCAUGUGGUUUAAUUCGAUGAUACGCGAGGAACCUUACCUGGGCUUAAAUGCUUAAUGACGUACUGGGAAACUGGUAUUUCUUCGGACAUUUUGCAAGGUGCUGCAUGGUUGUCGUCAGCUCGUGCCGUGAGGUGUCGGGUUAAGUCCCAUAACGAGCGCAACCCCUAUUGUUAGUUGCCAUCAGGUCAUGCUGGGGACUCUAACAAAACUGCCCGCGUAAGCGUGGAGGAAGGUGGGGAUGACGUCAAAUCAGCACGGCCCUUACGUCCAGGGCUACACACGUGCUACAAUGGCCGGUACAGAGGGCAGCCACUUGGUGACAAGGAGCAAAUCUCAAAAGCCGGUCUCAGUUCGGAUCGGAGUCUGCAACUCGACUCCGUGAAGUUGGAUUCGCUAGUAAUCGUAGAUCAGCAAUGCUACGGUGAAUACGUUCCCGGGCCUU